rnacentral:rRNA from 1 species
GCUUAAUUUGACUCAACGCGGGAAAUCUUACCAGGUCCGGACACACUGAGGAUUGACAGGAAGUAUCGUCUUUUGAAUUCUUUAAGGAUAUGUCGUUUUUAAUGACAUCUUUUAGAUGGAUGAUUCGUGUAAAUAUGCUAGUUCUUUCAUGAUUAUGUGAUAGGUGGUGCAUGGCCGUUCUUAGUUCGUGGAGUGAUCUGUCUGCUUAAUUGCGUUUCACUAAGGCCCCAAAGUUAGCAAAUUAUCAAUCGUUACAGAGUCGACCCCUCACCUUUGAGUGCGCGUCCUAACUUGUAGUACAUGGUGUAAAUGGAUUUGUUUUGGGUACCCAGAAAGCAACGAACGUGACCGCAACGUCUUGUUGUCUCUCUUUGACAGUUAUGGGUUAUCCCAGUCAUGUGUUUAUACUUUUAUGUGUAAAUACGUACGACACAGAGACUAGAUACCAAAGUAGCGUACCGCUGUAUCAUUUCUUUAAACCAGAGGAAGGUUGCGGCAAUAACAG